rnacentral:rRNA from 1 species
CUAAGAAUCUUGCGCAAUGGGCGAAAGCCUGACGCAGCAACGCCGCGUGGAGGACGAAGGCCUUCGGGUCGUAAACUCCUUUUGCGAGGGAAGAAGAUCUGACGGUACCUCGCGAAUAAGCCACGGCUAACUACGUGCCAGCAGCCGCGGUAAUACGUAGGUGGCAAGCGUUGUCCGGAUUUACUGGGCGUAAAGAGCCCGCAGGCGGUCCAAUAAGUUCUUGGUGAAAUCUCCUGGCUCAACUGGGAGGGUGCCUGGAAAACUGUUGGACUUGAGGCAGGGAGAGGGAUGUGGAAUUCCCGGUGUAGUGGUGAAAUGCGUAGAUAUCGGGAGGAACACCAGUGGCGAAGGCGGCAUCCUGGCCCUGUCCUGACGCUCAGGGGCGAAAGCGUGGGGAGCAAACCGGAUUAGAUACCCACGUAGUCCCUGAGCGGGCUGGCAAGGCGCAU